rnacentral:rRNA from 1 species
GCGAGCGGCGGAUGGGUGAGUAACACGUGGGGAACCUGCCCCAUAGUCUAGGAUACCACUUGGAAACAGGUGCUAAUACCGGAUAAGAAAGCAGAUCGCAUGAUCAGCUUUUAAAAGGCGGCGGUAAGCUGUCGCUAUGGGAUGGCCCCGCGGUGCAUUAGCUAGUUGGUAAGGUAAAGGCUUACCAAGGCGAUGAUGCAUAGCCGAGUUGAGAGACUGAUCGGCCACAUUGGGACUGAGACACGGCCCAAACUCCUACGGGAGGCAGCAGUAGGGAAUCUUCCACAAUGGACGCAAGUCUGAUGGAGCAACGCCGCGUGAGUGAAGAAGGUUUUCGGAUCGUAAAGCUCUGUUGUUGGUGAAGAAGGAUAGAGGUAGUAACUGGCCUUUAUUUGACGGUAAUCAACCAGAAAGUCACGGCUAACUACGUGCCAGCAGCCGCGGUAAUACGUAGGUGGCAAGCGUUGUCCGGAUUUAUUGGGCGUAAAGCGAGCGCAGGCGGAAGAAUAAGUCUGAUGUGAAAGCCCUCCGCUUAACC